CCUACGGGAGGCAGCAGUGGGGAAUAUUGCACAAUGGGGGAAACCCUGAUGCAGCGACGCCGCGUGAGUGAAGAAGUAAUUCGUUAUGUAAAGCUCUAUCAGCAGGGAAGAAAAUGACGGUACCUGAGUAAGAAGCCCCGGCUAACUACGUGCCAGCAGCCGCGGUAAUACGUAGGGGGCAAGCGUUAUCCGGAUUGACUGGGUGUAAAGUGAGCGUAGACGGCAGUGCAAGUCUGGAGUGAAAGGCGGGGGCUCAACCACCGGACUGCUCUGGAAACUGUACGGCUGGAGUGCAGGAGAGGUAAGUGGAAUUCCUAGUGUAGCGGUGAAAUGCGUAGAUAUUAGGAGGAACACCAGUGGCGAAGGCGGCUUACUGGACUGUAACUGACGUUGAGGCUCGAAAGCGUGGGGAGCAAACAGGAUUAGAUACCCGGGUAGUC
rnacentral:rRNA from 1 species